rnacentral:rRNA from 1 species
UAGGGAAUCUUCGGCAAUGGGGGCAACCCUGACCGAGCAACGCCGCGUGAGUGAACAAGGUUUUCGGAUCGUAAAGCUCUGUUGUAAGAGAAGAACGUGUGUGAGAGUGGAAAGUUCACACAGUGACGGUAACUUACCAGAAAGGGACGGCUAACUACGUGCCAGCAGCCGCGGUAAUACGUAGGUCCCGAGCGUUGUCCGGAUUUAUUGGGCGUAAAGCGAGCGCAGGCGGUUUAAUAAGUCUGAAGUUAAAGGCAGUGGCUUAACCAGUGUUCGCUUUGGAAACUGUUAAACUUGAGUGCAGAAGGGGAGAGUGGAAUUCCAUGUGUAGCGGUGAAAUGCGUAGAUAUAUGGAGGAACACCGGUGGCGAAAGCGGCUCUCUGGUCUGUAACUGACGCUGAGGCUCGAAAGCGUGGGGAGCAAACAGG